ensembl:lncRNA
CCCCCUCCUCCCCCCACCCCUCCCACCACACACCUCGCCUCCGACCGGGGGCACUUCUGCUGAAUAUUGGAUGGAGUGAUGGGGAAGAGCUCUCAGGGACAUCUGGAGGGGGGGGUGGGGGUGGUGAGGGGAUGUGACGGAGGCUUUCUCUUUGUCUUCUGUCCUUAAGUGCUGAAGUCAAUUGAGUUGGACGGCGUGUAGGUCACAUGGCGCGUCCAGGACCGACCUCCAAAGGCUGAUGGGCGCCGACAGACGGAGCUCCGUCACCGUCACAGAAGUAAGCGAGGGUGUCGCAUUCGUUUUCCUCCUCACUUGGCAGCCUGAUCUCCAAAACCUGUUCGGAAAAAUGUGUACGAAAAUCUUGGACAUACAAAUUCGUAGUGAUACAUACGAAAUAAAUACGGACUGCAACUGAUGACGUCGCCCUGUUCAAAGUGAACGGGGACCUGCACGGGGAUCUAACCAUGUAAAAUAAACGUGUUAUGAUUGCAUUUUUAACGAGAAAUCAAUGUUAACUUGUAAGAAUAGAAUACUAACCCUAACCCCCUCAAAAAAUCCAACAUGGCAGAGAGACGUUCACUCAAGAAUCCGACAUGGUCCGCCAUGUUGUUCGCUCAAGGGGCGUGGUUAACCCCCGCCAGCUCGUAUGUAUUGUUACGAAUUUGUAUGUUCAAGAUUUUCGUACACAUUUUUACAAACAGGUUUUGGAGAUCACGUUGCACUUGGAGGUCGUUGUUAUAAUUCGAAUAAUCAAAUACAGAAGUUCUAUUUAGUUUUCUACGUUUUGAUGAGUGUCUCAGGAGUGAUCCGGGUUCUUAUUUCUGGGCCUUUUACCAAACGCAAAGGUUGAUAAUAUUUGUCCUUCUGAAUGUUGUCAAAAAUGCCCUUGUCUGGUUUGGAAGAAAAUGGAAAGAAAUCUUAGUAUAUUUUAUUUAUGUCGUUCCCAACAUGUCUCCUUGGAGCGGGACAUUGUCUCCUUGGAUGCAGCGCAUCUUGAAUAUUGAGUCUGUGUUCGACACCUCGGUGGCCGCCGGGUGCACGAUGGUGGAGAUCCUUGUGAUUAUUAAUAAUCGAGCCCCCAGUGGGACCAACAACGCACACGACUGAAACGUUUCCCGUUGUUGUGUCCUCCGUUCUUGUUGUCGUCGACUGGCUUCUUCAUUAGAACGUCACGCACAAACGCUCGCUGUGAUCCAACAAUUCAAUUACGUCCUGUUGUUACCGAUUUAAAAGAAACACACAAACACGCUGAUACUUCAUCAAUAAGCCAAUUUAGUACGGAUCUUGUGUUAAUCGCACAUUCAGACACGAGGACACUCACACGUAUUCCAUCAAUUAACCAGUUUGUGUCUCUUUUUUCCGUAUUCAAAGGUUAGGCAAGAAGACAGGUGGAAUAAAAGCGACGCUCUCUCUCUCACACACACACACACACACACACACACACACACACACACACACACACACACAUUCUCAAAUGCCAAAAUCCAGAUCUGCGUGGUGGACCAGACGCAACCAUCUGGACGCCGGCUCACUCCCACAUGCAGCUCUAGCCGCCAAUUUCCCCAUCUGGGAGAAUAAAUAAUGAAGAAAUGUGAAGUGUUUCUUCUUCAAUGGAGGAGCUCUGUGGACGAAAGGAACGCACCACAGCUCAGGAGAACCAGAGGAACGCACCACAGCUCAGGAGAACCAGAGGAACGCACCACAGCUCAGGAGAACCAGAGGAACGCACCACAGCUCAGGAGAACCAGAGGAACGCCCCACAUGUCAGGGGAACCAGAGGAACGCACCACUCAUCAGGGGAACCAGAGGAACGCACCACUCAUCAGGGGAACCAGAGGAACGCACCACAGGUCAGCGGAACCAGAGGAAUGCACUCACACCUCAGGGGAACCAGAGGAACGCACUCACACCUCAGGGGAACCAGAGGAACGCACUCACACCUCAGGGGAACCAGAGGAACGCACUCACACCUCAGGGGAACCAGAGGAACGCACUCACACAUCAGGGGAACCAGAGGAACGCACCACAG